rnacentral:rRNA from 1 species
UACCGAGGGUGCAAGCGUUAAUCGGAAUUACUGGGCGUAAAGCGCGCGUAGGUGGUUUGUUAAGUUGGAUGUGAAAUCCCCGGGCUCAACCUGGGAACUGCAUUCAAAACUGACUGACUAGAGUGUGGUAGAGGGUGGUGGAAUUUCCUGUGGAGCGGUGAAAUGCGUAGAUACAGGAAGGUUUUUCUAAGGAGAAGGCGACCACCGAGAUCUACACUGACACUGAGGUGCGAAAGCGUGGGGAGCAAACAGG